UGCAAAUUCAUCAACCAACUCUUUUUCAAGCCUUUUCUCUAGUCUGAACUUUUAUCCUUUUUUAUCCUUUUUCGUUUAAUUUAAUGUAUAAACAUAAAGUCCCUUUCACAGACAUUAAGGAAGUUGUACUCUCAAAAGUUAUGUCUUGGGUUUUAGGAUUUAACCUUCCAUGCAAGGUUCCCAUGGAGUCCUACAAAUCUCAGCCUUCCAUUCUUUGUUUCUUGGUGAUAUCAAAGCACAAAGGGAAACAUCAGAUUCUAAGAAACUCCAAGUUUCAACCGCUGGGGAAAGAUCUUAGAUUGUAAAACACAGACAAAAAUAGGAACAUGGUCUUCUGCAACAGUAGCAUUGAACCAGGACUUAUAGUCCCUUCUACUCUUACUCCUGGUCUUGGAUCCUGGAAACCCGGGAUUCUAGGCAUUCUGAUGAGGAUAAUCUUACCCAUGUGGAGGGUAACUGGCGGUCAUUAUUAAAACUUAAACCACAGCCACCAUCUAAACUGACUUGAAGGCUAUUUCGGCAACACAAUCUUUCAUCGGAUUAUCAAAGGCUUCCUCGUCCAAGGAGGUGACCCCACGGGUUCCGACACUGAUUAAGUACCAUGAAACACAGCAGCGUGAGAUUGAUCAUCAAAGUCGUGAGCUUCGUCUACAUCAAUCCAACAGGGUUACGGCUUUUGGUGGGGAUGGAGUGCUGCGUCUUCUACGUGAAAUUGCUUCUUCUUGGUUGUUCAACAUCUUUGGAUUCACAUUAUAACUACAAUUGCUUCUUCUUGGUUUUUUCUGUUGAUUUGCAGGAUUGGUUGUCCAGGAAUCUCUCGAGCAACUUUACAUCUUUGGAUUCACAUUAUAACUACAAUUCUCUUUUCAACACUAAUUCGGCACAUCUGGAAGAGGCAUAAUUCCUUUGUUUUCACUGAUACAGGUCCUCGAUGAACGAUGUCUGGAGUUGUUGUGUUUCUUAGAACAGCCACUUUGCAGGAUGCGUACCUUCCCCUAGCUCUCCUUUGACUCGUCCCAUGAUCCACGUCCAGUGGAAACCACCCCUCU